rnacentral:piRNA from 1 species
GCCAAAUUGCCCAGUAAGAACUUUACUC